UGCAAGUCGAACGGGAUUGGUAGCAAUACCAUGAGAGUGGCGCACGGGUGAGUAACGCGUAUGCAACCUACCUUUAACUGAGGGAUAGCCCAUAGAAAUGUGGAUUAAUACCUCAUAGUUCUGAGAAUCCGCAUGGAUUUUCAGAUAAAGCUCCGGCGGUUAAAGAUGGGCAUGCGUGACAUUAGUUUGUUGGUGAGGUAACGGCUCACCAAGACUACGAUGUCUAGGGGUUCUGAGAGGAUGAUCCCCCACACUGGUACUGAGACACGGACCAGACUCCUACGGGAGGCAGCAGUGAGGAAUAUUGGUCAAUGGGCGCAAGCCUGAACCAGCCAUCCCGCGUGCAGGAUGAAGGCCCUAUGGGUCGUAAACUGCUUUUAUACACCAAGAAAAACAUCCACGUGUGGGUGCCCGACGGUAGUGUAUGAAUAAGCAUCGGCUAACUCCGUGCCAGCAGCCGCGGUAAUACGGAGGAUGCAAGCGUUAUCCGGAUUCAUUGGGUUUAAAGGGUGCGUAGGCGGCUUUUUAAGUCAGUGGUGAAAUCUUGCCGCUUAACGGUAAAAUUGCCAUUGAUACUGAAAAGCUUGAGUACAGUUGAGGUAAGCGGAAUGUGUAGUGUAGCGGUGAAAUGCUUAGAUAUUACACAGAACACCGAUUGCGAAGGCAGCUUACUAAACUGUUACUGACGCUGAUGCACGAAAG
rnacentral:rRNA from 1 species